rnacentral:rRNA from 1 species
UACGUAGGGUGCGAGCGUUAAUCGGAAUUACUGGGCGUAAAGCGUGCGCAGGCGGUUCGUUAUGUCCGAUGUGAAAGCCCCGAGCUCAACUUGGGAAUGGCAUUGGAAACUGGCGGGCUGGAGUGUGGCAGAGGGGGGGUAGAAUUCCACGUGUAGCAGUGAAAUGCGUAGAGAUGUGGAGGAACACCGAUGGCGAAGGCAGCCCCCCUGGGCCAACACUGACGCUCAGGCACGAAAAGCGUGGGGAGCAAACAGG